CUAGCUACAGUGGUGCCCCGCAAGACGAAUGCCUCGCAAGACGGAAAAACCGCUAGACGAAAGGGUUUUCCGUUUUGAAGUUGCUUCGCAGGACGAAUUCCCCUAUGGGCUUGCUUCGCAAGACGAAAAUACCUUGCGAGUCCUGAGAUUUUUUUUUCGCUUUUCCCCCCCUUUAUCUAAUCUGCUAAGCCUUUAAUAGCCUUUAAUAGCCUUUUAGCAGCUAAUCCCCUAAGCCUUUAAGCCUUUAAUAGCCGCUAAACAGCUGAUAGCGCUAAUAGCGCUAAUCCGUCAAUGGGCUUGCUUCGCAAGACGAAAAAACCGCUAGACGAAGACUCUUGCGGAACGGAUUAAUUUCGUCUUGCGAGGCACCACUGUAUAUGAUACCGCAGGAACUCUCUGGGGGAUUACAGCUGUUUGUAACGACUUUGCCAAAUGUGAUAACUAAACAUUUCAAGCCCAACUGCUUUUACUCAAACCCCCGCUCCCCAACUGAAAACUGCUGGAUUCCGUACAAUCUGGUGUCUCGAGGGAUCCUAACCUAUUCUCACCCAAGCACCAAUGUGGCAACAGCGAGAUCAUACAAAGGACCAGGCCUGUAUCAAACACAAACACCUUAUCAGAAUAUCUGGACACAUUUUAAAAGUGGGGAAGGGGCACCCAUUUGGUAGGGCGCGACCCUGCCAGUAUUAAUAAUUGUGAGGCCAUUGUUCUCCACAGGAGAGAGUUAUGCAUGUCCUGGGCUUUCCUUCUGAAAUAAUAAGUGGGAACUGAAAGUGCUUAACUGUGGCAGGAUCAUGUCCACAACACUGACUCCCCUCACUCCCAAAAUGCAUACUGUACUCAGAUUAUUAAAUGCAGCUACUCUUGCUGACCUGAAUACUGUAGUUGUAGAACCUGUCAAUUGAAACAACAGCGAUAAAAACUAACCUCUACCUCACCAGAUGUCCACCCUCCCUGUUCUAUGCUGCUACUAUACUGGGCAAUUAAGUGCACUGUCUAGCAUAUCACUUACGGGUUCAACCACCUAGCAGAAUUUGAUGUUGCAAGUCUACAGUGAGACUUCCUUACUUUUGCAGCAACAAAGCCAAUCAGUCCUGGUUCUUCCUGUGCUGGGAUUUUACAGUCUUGCCAGACUCAUGCUGCAACCCUGUGCACACCUAUCUGGAAAUAAACACCAUUGAACAUGCAUAGGAGUAAUGGGGGGAAGCCAACACUUUGAUCUUCUAAUGUUGUGCAUGCUUAAGACAGUAUCUUUCCAGCUCUUCAACCCAAACCCACCCCCCUCAAGAACCUCCAAGUCCAUAGUCAAGGAUUCAUCCACUCUAAAUUAGGGAAGCAGACAAAGAGCUAUGGUUUCUCUUCUCAGAAAAUCCUCCAAGAACAGGAUACAAAUGAGCUCUCCCGUACCUUUUCCUGGCCAAUCAUUUUUGAUAGAAAGCUUCGAGGAAUCCCAGUAGGGCAUUUAAUCAUUGGACUAUGCAGGGAUGUUGAAACCCGUUUCAAGAGUUGACACACAUGCUUCUCACUGUCUUGACCUGCUGAUAACCAACUGCUGGAAACUAUAAGCCACAGUGGGCCACCCUAUCUAUCUAUCUAUCUAUGUAUCAUCAGUGAACAUUGCACAUGAAGAGUACAGAUGGGUAUAUUGAACAGACAUUAAACAAAAACUAGAUGGUGAGUUUUUAACAUCACGUGAGUUAACCAAAGAAGAAGAAGCCAGGACAUAAUAAGAUAUAUGAUUAUUUCCGUGGAUCAGAUGAAGAGUCAUUCCAAAAUGUGAUGGGGGAAGCUGAAAUUUAGAAAUCCUGUUAUUGAUAUAUGGAAAUUAUCAGAGACCAUUAAAAAGUUCUUGUUUGGCUGUCUCCUAGUGGGGGUGGGGGGAGUAUUCCUGUGAGGCCCAGGCAACAUGACAAAUAGCAUGGGAUGUUGUUGUGUCCAUGUUGUCCCUGUUACUCAGAUAAUUAAAAAAAGAAAGAAAAAAUCCCAGCCCAAUACUGUAAAUAUAAAGCAGGACAAAGUUUCCAAAUGUCUAUUAUUAUUAUUAUUAUCAUCAUCAUCAUCAUCAUUAUCAUUAUCAUUAUUAUUUUGAUUGAAUUUAUAUACCACCCAAACCUGGAGGUCUCAGCUAUUUCCUUCCUGCCUGUCACUAGUAUAACAUAUUUAAGAAGAAACUGUCAUUGCAGGUUAGAGGGGAGCCUUCAAGAUAACAGAGAAAAUGAUGGUUCUAGUUGCACCAGUUGUGCUAAGUCAGAGAUAGUGCUAAAUGCUCAUUCCCCAAAGAUAUCUACAUCAUAGCUAAUCUAUCACACAUGAGUAAAAGAUCCUUAUUUCUUGAACCCAGUUGACUAGCCUUUUCAGUAUCAUAUGCCAAAUGUAAAGUAGCUUUUAAGUGGACCAGUCUUAUUCCCCACCCCACAGUCUCCAUCCCUAUUUUAAAAAAAACAAAAAUCUAGAAAGAUAUUUAAAUGGAAAGCACUCCAUCCUAAGAGUCCCUGUCUGGAGUAGUGCAGCCCAGACAGAGGUUUAGCACCUCACUGAGUACUAGACCCAUGCAAUUAGCAAAUGAAGUGCAGAAUUAGUACCUUAGCGGAUUCAACCUUGGUUGCCUGAUUUAUGAAUAAGCCACAUGUGGCUAUAAGUUUGCAGACAAUGCCUUUGCGGCGCUACGUUCAUUACAGAAAUGCAUCAGCCAUCUGUUCCGCUGGCAAGAGAGGCACGAUUAAGUAUCAUGUGACACAUUGCUAGCCGUGCAACUUAACUUGGUUUAAGAUGCUGCUAUUUACACAGAGAGUGGACUGCUGAGGGUCUUAAAUGGAGCCAAAGCUUGUUGGCUCCAAAGUCAUAAUCUAUAAACCGGGCACCACUCUCUGACGCGGUUUUGCAAAUAUGCAGGAUUAUGAACUAGAAAAGAACGGUUUUCUGUCGAAGCCCAACAAAUGCAUUGAUGUGAUCUGAACUAUUUCACACCGUCCGUUCAUUACAGCCAUAGCUUGCAGUUGUUUGCACACAAAACUUUAAUUAUGCAGGGGAGGAGGCAAAAAAUGUCUGUGUGUGUGUGUGAGAGAGAGAGAGAGAGAGAGAGAGACAGACAGACAGACAGACAGACAGACAGAGAGGAGGGUGCUUUCUGGGGGAAAUAGAGCUAAAACCCUAUGCAGACUAACUUGGAAGGAAGACCCAUUUAAUUCACCAAAAAUAAGGAAUCAUACAUAAGAUCGGGCUACGCAUAUAAAGGGCCAGGGUGCCUUUAAACAUACAAAAGAUUCAGCACCGUAUAGUGACCAUGAGUGUUAGACUGAAGAACUAAGUUCAAAUUGCCAUUUAGCCAAGCAGCUCACUGGGUGACCUUGGGCCAAUCACUCUCGUUCAACCUAGCCUACCUCACAGGGUUGUUGUAAAGGUAGAAUGGCAUGGGAGAUGUGUGUAUGCUGCCUUGAGUUCCUUGGAGGAAAGGCAGAAUAUAAACGUAAUAAAGAAACCCUGGUUUCUUGCAAUCCUAGGUAUUUGUGCCACGAUUACAGUCAGAAAGCAUUUUGUUGAUGAAUGCAAAAAGGCGCUCCUAAAAUCCUGAGAGCUGCCUCUGUAUUAGGAAACUCAGCCAUCGCUGGUCACAUGUUUUUUCCACUUGCCAGUCAUAUUUGUUCUGUGAGGCAUACAGAGGCUUGAUCUACUAAAAGCCGCACAUAAUCUGAUCAAAUGCAGCCCAUCCUAAACUGCUCCAUCUAUCUUAUUUAUUGUCUGCAUGCAGAUGGCACAUCAUGUAACCUUCUUUUAAGCAACGUGUAUUACAGACAGGAACUCAGAUGGCAACAGGAUUCAGAAGGGUCCAGGUCUACGCAGCAACCCCCCUCCCAACCCUGUCUCCAGUAACAAAUCAUAGGAAGAGCCAUCUAGACACAGUUCAUGCACAUAGCUUUUGUGUGUGUUUCGAGAUUUAGCAAAAGCAAAGAUAAAAUAAAACCGGAAAAUUCAAGCAGUAUUUAUCUCUAGCUCAGACACCAUUGUUGGCAAAGCUUCCUUCUAUUCCAGAUAGGGAGAAAGAGAUAGAAAAAGUACGCAGCAGGCAUUAUUCACAAGCUGGUCCUGAAUGUUUGGGGCCUGAGAUGCAAAAAAUAUGCAAUCUUGGGCACACACAGUAUCAUUUUCAAGUCAGGGAUGCAAUUUCAAAGUGGCUAUCAAGAUGAAAGGCUUUACGGUAAGAAUAACCCUGUAAUUUCCAGCUAGAAUCACAAGGGAUGGAUAAAGCAGGGCAACAUGAGCAGCAGAAUCAAUUCAGCUGUAUUGCUCUGCAAAAGAUGGUGCUUUGUCAAAGCGCAGUGCCAAGCUGUCUGUCGGGGGGGGGGGGGGGAGAAAAUUCCCAAGUCAAAAUGCUGUGCUCAGAAAUUUCAGCCGGAGCCAGUUGCAAGCAGAGAGACAGAGGUGUGCUUAGAUUGCCUGCAUCUAACACACUUGUCAGAUGUCAAGUGGCUGUGCGACUACAACCUGAUGAGCCCAGUUCUUAAUGUUUCUAAAGUGUUGACCCUGUCAGCUGGGCUUGUCUUUUGUGCAGGGCACAAAUCAAUUGCUACAGUCAGCUAAUGCUACAGUGCUCAACACAAUGACUCAGAAAUAAGGACUGCUUAGAACACAAUGCAGUGAUUUUGAAACUGCCUUGGGCAGCAGAUCCAGUGGUUACAGAGCAAUGUUUUGAUUUGCUUGCUCCUUGUAGAUUUUUGUGCAGUGUCUCACAAAACCCUGUGGCUGCCAGAAAGGUUUCGUAAUUAAGGCUCGUAUACUUCUGUACCCUGAUACAUCUGUACGGCGUGCUCCGACUAAAAUAUAUAUUAAUGUAGCAUCUUCAAUGUAUACUGCACUUUGCAUAAGAGGAUAUGCCCCUGCCCAACUGGAGACAGGAGAGAUGACAGAGGAAGCAGAGGCAAAUGGAGGUGCAUGUUCCAUGUCGCUGUCUGUCUUGAUCCUGUUAUUCAGGGCUUUUGAUGGUAUACCUUGUGAGGUCACCUUGCUUAGACAUCUUUGACACAGGGUUCUCUUCUCUCUCCACCCCCCUCCCUUUGGGAUGCCUUGCACCCCUUGGUCAGCACCUAUUUGAGGUGUGCUAAUGUCCAGAACCUCACAUUUUUAGAUAAUUUUAAUUUUAAAAGGCCCUUAAAGUGUCCAUUGUGCACCAGCUCCAUUAAGCUCAAAUAAGACUGGACUUUGUGCUUGUGUUUCUUUCAGUGCUGUUACAUGUUACAACAGUCAAGACAGAUCCUCAUUUUUGCACCUCACAAUUUUUAAAGGAUGCUUACGUCUGUAAACAUAGGACCGACGAUUUCCCAGCUACUACAAUUGGCCAAAGUUCCCAGGGGUAUAUUCAUUCCUUGCUUUGAAAUAUGUGAGUGUCCUUCAAACAUUUAACAAAAGCAUAGUCAAUCCAGUAGAAAUGCAAGGAUUUGUUUUUGUUGCAAAAUGUAAGCCACUUCUCUCUCACUGCAAUAAUAUGCAUCUUUAAAAGCAGAGACAUCACCUUGCCGACAAAGGUCUGUAUAGUUAAAGCUAUGGUUUUCCCAGUAGUGAUAUAUGGAAGUGAGAGCUGGACCAUAAAGAAGGCUGGUCACUGAAGAACUGAUGCUUUUGAAUUAUGGUGCUGGAGGAGACUCUUGAGAGUCCCAUGGACUGCAAGGAGAUCAAACCUAUCCAUUCUUAAGGAAAUCAGCCCUAAGUGCUCACUGGAAGGACAGAUCCUGAAGCUGAGGCUCCAAUACUUUGGCCACCUCAUGAGAAGAAGACUCCUGGAAAAGACCCUGAUGUUGGGAAAGAUGGAGGGCACAAGGAGAAGGGGACGACAGAGGACGAGAUGGUUGGACAGUGUUCUUGAAGCUACCAGCAUGAGUUUGACCAAACUGCGGGAGGCAGUAGAAGACAGGAGUGCCUCACGUGCUCUGGUCCAUGGGGUCACAAAGAGUCGGACAUGACCAAACGACUAAACAACGUGUAGGUUUGCAUACUGUACUAACCAGCAGAUUUGGGGGGGGGGACCUUUCCCAAAUCUUAAGACUUAAGCCAGCAUCAAGAAACACAAGCUGCUGUAGUCACUGAACACUGACAAUGCUUUGCCACCAGCUCUUGUGAUCACAAUUUGCCUUCACCAACAGCAUAGACCAGGUUUGCUCAGCUUGGUGCCCCAGAUGUGUUAGACUGCCACAGUGCUGCACCAAUUACCCCCAGCUAACACAGCUGGAAGGAAGGCUGGAAUAGAUUGAAUGUCCAUUUAUUUGAGGUGGGUUAGAGUUAGAUGGCUAUUUGGAUAGACUUCCCAGUUGUCUUCAGAAAGAGGUAUCCAGCGAUGCUGGUACAUAGUCAUUAUCUUUGUGAUGUGCUGAACCCAAACGUUUGUAUUAGAACACCUACCUGCAAUGUAAGAAUUUUGAUAGGACUUGUGAUGAGGCACCUGAGGUAUCCCCAGUGCUAAGCAUUUAUAAGCUGUGUGUAUUGUAUUAGCUAACUGCCAAGGUUCUGCUGAGGACAGCUUUCAAAACAGAUGUAUCUAAAAUAACUAACUAUAAAACAAAAAUAUAUUUAUUAAUCAGCUUGCCCUUAAACAUGUCCAUAUGAGGUAUUGGACUACUACUCAACUUCAUAGAAAUUAAUUCCAGAUCUGCUUCUCUCUGCUGUGAAUUUUAUGUACCAACUUAAUCCAGCGUUGCUGAAUUAAUUAUACUUCAUACAUUAUAAAGGAACAAACUUAUUAAAUAUAUAUAUAUUCAAAAAAGAAAAAGUACAUACAAUUAAAAGAAACCCUUUCCAAUCUCAUUUAAAAUAAAUUGUGUUCUCCGAGUUUAGGCCUUGACCUACUAAGUAAUUAACUAUAUUCUAGUGGGUUUGCACCGAAAUUCUGUGCUAUACUACUUAAUCUGUAGCACUGGAAAAGAUUUGUCAAGCUUCAGGUUGGCCCAUUUGGUAUAGGUGGUAGUACCCAGAAAGAACUACUCUCAUGAACAAUGAGAAUGGCAGAAUCCGGCCCUGCAUAAUCAAACCCAGCCAUAUUAAUGUCAACCUCAAUAACCAACAAGCAGCUAGGGGGAAAAUCAAUGCUAGACGAGAAAGGACAAAACUGGUCAGGAAAGAAAAUUUAUUGGAAAAGCUUCUACGAGGGAACUGCAGACAAAGAAGAAUAAAAAUAGUCCUCGUCUCCUUUUCGGGCUCCAAUAUGCAGCAUGAAGUGCAUUGCUAAGUGCAUAAACAGCUUCUUGGUUACUGUUGUUAAAAAUAAAAAUAUGUCAAGAAGCUUUCUGAUGUACUUCUUUUCUUUCUGCUGCAGAAGAGAUGCCUGGCUUUUGUGAGCAAGUGGAACAACAAAAAAACCCCACCUCCUUCUGCCUUUGCUCUGGGUAAAGGAAGAACCAAAGGGGCCUGUAUUUGGGCAAGCAGAGUACCUCUCAAAAGGUGCUGAAAAUUGCUGUGUGCAGAAGAAGAGCACUCAGGAUCAGACCUCCAAUGAACUAUCUGUGCUCUUCGAGGUGACUGGCAAAGUCAAGCCUUAAGAGCCUCAGAAGAGACUCUUGAUAGCUGAAGAACGAAAGUGAUGACAUCAGCCAGCUAAGGAGUGAAUAGGGAACGCAGGGGUUGCAUAUUUUAAGAGUAAUCAUUAAAAUGGUUCGUAGUUAUUCAUAUGCCACAAAAAGAGUUUCACUCUGCCUGCCUUUGGGAGAAGGGCCAUAAUGCAUGCAAAAGAUCCUAGCUUCAAUCCCCAUCUCCAGGUAGUGAUGGUAAGGAAUCAUUGAGAAUAGUCCUGUAGGUCUGCUUUACCUGUGGAAGGUCCCAGCUCCAGGCAGGGCUGGAAGAGAAUCCUGUCUGAAAUCAUGGAAAGCCACCGCCAGCCGGUGUCAAUGGACCAGUGGUAGGACUCUAAGGCAGCUUCCUACAUUGCUAUAUACUGAAGAGCCACUGGCAGUGAGCGAAGAUAAUACUUAGAUAGACUGACAUAGUAUAAGGCAGGCUACUGUGUUCCCAUAUGCCACUGGGUGUGUUUUUUUAAAAAAAUAAGCCACGACAUCCUGAGAUGCUAAUGCAAGGAAACAGGUGUUGGUUGGGCUGGUAAACAACAAAACCCAGCCCACCCUCAUAAAACAAUUGUGCUGCUAGUAUAACUGGAUGUGGACAGUGAGGAUGAUCCCCCAAGUGACAAACAAGAAAAUGUAUGCCAUAGCUCCUGCAUUCUAAAAAUGGGCAGGUGUACAUUUAUUCUCUUUAGCAGAAUUUCUAGAAAACUGUUUUGUAACAUUCAGGGGGCAGGGAUAUGGAUGCGAACUGGGCAUUUCUUGCCAGUACUAAAAUAAGCAGCAUGAUUCAGUCCCAAAUCAAUUACUGUCAACCAAAUAAACAAUAGAAUUGUAGAGUUGGAAGGGACCACGAGGGGCAUCAAGUCCAACCCGCUUCAAUCCAGGCAUCCUUUGCCCAGUGUAUGGCUAUCAGUCAUUAAGAAAGACUGGGUUAGAUCUUCCAGAAUUUACUCCAAGCAUUC